AUUGAACGCUGGCGGCAGGCUUAACACAUGCAAGUCGAGCGGGGAAAGGUAGCUUGCUACCUGACCUAGCGGCGGACGGGUGAGUAAUGCUUAGGAAUCUGCCUAUUAGUGGGGGACAACAUCUCGAAAGGGAUGCUAAUACCGCAUACGUCCUACGGGAGAAAGCAGGGGACCUUCGGGCCUUGCGCUAAUAGAUGAGCCUAAGUCGGAUUAGCUAGUUGGUGGGGUAAAGGCCUACCAAGGCGACGAUCUGUAGCGGAUCUGAGAGGAUGAUCCGCCACACUGGGACUGAGACACGGCCCAGACUCCUACGGGAGGCAGCAGUGGGGAAUAUUGGACAAUGGGGGGAACCCUGAUCCAGCCAUGCCGCGUGUGUGAAGAAGGCCUUUUGGUUGUAAAGCACUUUAAGCGAGGAGGAGGCUACCGAGAUUAAUACUCUUGGAUAGUGGACGUUACUCGCAGAAUAAGCACCGGCUAACUCUGUG
rnacentral:rRNA from 1 species